UACAGAGGGGGCAAGCGUUGUUCGGAAUUACUGGGCGUAAAGGGCGCGUAGGCGGCCUUCUAAGUCGGACGUGAAAUCCCUGGGCUCAACCCGGGAACUGCGUCCGAGACUGGCAUGCUUGAAUCCGGGAGAGGGAUGUGGAAUUCCAGGUGUAGCGGUGAAAUGCGUAGAUAUCUGGAGGAACAUCGGUGGCGAAGGCGGCAUCCUGGACCGGUAUUGACGCUGAGGCGCGAAAGCCAGGGGAGCAAACGGG
rnacentral:rRNA from 1 species